rnacentral:rRNA from 1 species
CCCGCUCAGAAACUUAAAGGAAUUGACGGGGGCCCGCACAAGCGGUGGAGCAUGUGGUUUAAUUCGAUGAUACGCGAGGAACCUUACCUGGGCUCAAAUGUAUGUUGACGUAUUCUGAAAGGGAUACUUCUUCGGACAAUAUACAAGGUGCUGCAUGGUUGUCGUCAGCUCGUGCCGUGAGGUGUCGGGUUAAGUCCCAUAACGAGCGCAACCCCUAUCAUUAGUUGCCAUCAGGUCAAGCUGGGGACUCUAAUGAAACUGCCUACGCAAGUAGUGAGGAAGGUGGGGAUGACGUCAAAUCAGCACGGCCCUUACGUCCAGGGCUACACACGUGCUACAAUGGCCGGUACAAAGGGCAGCUACCUGGUGACAGGAUGCUAAUCUCAAAAGCCGGUCUCAGUUCGGAUCGGAGUCUGCAACCCGACUCCGUGAAGCUGGAAUCGCCAGUAAUCGCGCAUCAGCCAUGGCGCGGUGAAUACGUUCCCGGGCCUU